rnacentral:rRNA from 1 species
AUUGAACGCUGGCGGCAGGCCUAACACAUGCAAGUCGAGCGGAGCGGCGGACGGGUGCGUAAUGCCUAGGAAUCUGCCUGGUAGUGGGGGAUAACGUCCGGAAACGGGAGCUAAUACCGAAUACUAUCAGAUGAGCCUCGGUCGGAUUAGCUAGGUGGUGGGGUAAAGGCCUACCAAGGCGACGAUCCGUCACUGGGCUGAGAGGAUGCUCAGGCACACUGGAACUGAGACACGGUCCAGACGCCUACGGGAGGCAGCAGUGGGGAAUAUUGGAAAAUGGUCGAAAGCCUGAGCCAGCCAUGCCGCGUGUGUGAAGAAGGUCUUCGGAUUGUAAAGCACUUUAAGUUGGGAGGCGUUACCAACAGAAUAAGCACCGGCUAACUUCGUGCCAGCAGCCGCGGUAAUAC